UGAGGAAUCUGUCCAUCGGCGGGGGAUAGCCGGCCCAACGGCCGGGUAAUACCGCGUACGUCGGCGGAAGCGCAUGCUUCUGCCGGGAAAGCAGCAAUGCACCGAUGGAGGACCUCGCGGCCUAUCAGCUUGUUGGCGGGGUAAUGGCCCACCAAGGCGACGACGGGUAGCUGGUCUGAGAGGAUGAUCAGCC
rnacentral:rRNA from 1 species